AUUGAACGCUGGCGGAAUGCUUUACACAUGCAAGUCGAACGGCAGCACGGGGGCAACCCUGGUGGCGAGUGGCGAACGGGUGAGUAAUACAUCGGAACGUGCCCGGUCGUGGGGGAUAACGUAGCGAAAGUUACGCUAAUACCGCAUACGAUCUGAGGAUGAAAGCGGGGGACCUUCGGGCCUCGCGCGAUCGGAGCGGCCGAUGUCAGAUUAGGUAGUUGGUGGGGUAAAGGCCUACCAAGCCGACGAUCUGUAGCUGGUCUGAGAGGACGACCAGCCACACUGGGACUGAGACACGGCCCAGACUCCUACGGGAGGCAGCAGUGGGGAAUUUUGGACAAUGGGCGCAAGCCUGAUCCAGCCAUUACGCGUGCAGGACGAAGGCCUUCGGGUUGUAAACUGCUUUUGUAUGGAACGAAAAGGCUCUGGCUAAUACCUGGGGCUCAUGACGGUACCGUAAGAAUAAGCACCGGCUAACUACGUG
rnacentral:rRNA from 1 species